UACGAAGGGGGCUAGCGUUGUUCGGAAUCACUGGGCGUAAAGCGCGUGUAGGCGGAUUGUUAAGUCGGGGGUGAAAUCCCGAGGCUCAACCUCGGAACUGCCUUCGAUACUGGCGAUCUUGAGUCCGGGAGAGGUGAGUGGAACUCCGAGUGUAGAGGUGAAAUUCGUAGAUAUUCGGAAGAACACCAGUGGCGAAGGCGGCUCACUGGCUCAUUACUGACGCUCAGGCGCGACAGCGUGGGGAUCAAACAGG
rnacentral:rRNA from 1 species